CCCUUAGAUGUUCUGGGCAGCACGCGCGCUACAAUGGUCUUCGCAAACGGAUGCAUUCUCGAAGGAGAAUGCCAAUCUUGGAAUCUAUGCCUUGGUCGGGACAGUUGCUUGCAAUUUUUCGACUCGAACCAGGAAUUCCUUGUAAUCGUGAUUCAUCACAUCACGAUGAAUACGUCCCUGCCCUUUGUACACACCGCCCGCCGCUCCUACCGAUCGAAGAGUUAGGUGAAUUGUUUUGGUCGAUAAGAUUUGACUAUGGUCAACUCUCGUUGUGAAAUUCUGUGAAUCUGACUGUUUAGAGGAAGGAAAAGUCGUAACA
rnacentral:rRNA from 1 species